AUGGCCUGGUCCCCUCUGCUCCUCACCCUGGGCACUCUCUGCACAGGAUCCCGGGCCCAGGCUGUGCUGACUCAGCCGUCCUCCGUGUCCGGGUCCCCAGGCCAGAGGGUCACCAUCACCUGCUCUGGAAGCAGCAGCAACACUGGGGGUAAUUUUGUGGGCUGGUGCCAGCAGCUCCCAGGAACGGCCCCCAAAACCCUCAUCUAUGGUGAUAGCAAUCGACCCUCGGGGUCCCAGAGUGAUUCUCUGGCUCCAAGUCUGGAAAUUCGGCCUCCAUGACCAUCGCUUCACUCCAGGCGGAGGAGGAGGCUGGUUAUUACUGUUUAUCAUGGGAUGACAGCUUGAAUGGUCCCACGACACCUGUGUCCUGA